rnacentral:rRNA from 1 species
GAUGAACGCUAGCGGCAGGCCUAACACAUGCAAGUCGAGGGGUAGCAGGAUUAAGCUUGCUUAAUUGCUGACGACCGGCGCACGGGUGCGUAACGCGUAUGCAACCUACCUUAUACUGGGGUAUAGCCCGGAGAAAUUCGGAUUAAUCCCCCAUAGUACUAAUGAAUCGCAUGGUUUAUUAGUUAAAGCAUUGCGGUAUAAGAUGGGCAUGCGUCCUAUUAGCUAGAUGGUGAGGUAACGGCUCACCAUGGCUACGAUAGGUAGGGGGCCAGAGAGGGGGGUCCCCCACACUGGUACUGAGACACGGACCAGACUCCUACGGGAGGCAGCAGUGAGGAAUAUUGGUCAAUGGGCGCAAGCCUGAACCAGCCAUGCCGCGUGCAGGAAGAAUGCCCUAUGGGUUGUAAACUGCUUUUAUUUGGGAAUAAACCUCUUUACGUGUAGAGAGCUGAAGGUACCAAAUGAAUAAGCACCGGCUAACUCCGUGCCAGCCGCCGCGGUAA